GACAGAGGUGCCGAGCGUUAGGCGGAAUCACUGGGCUUAAAGCGUGUGUAGGCGGGCCGUUAAGUAUCUUGUGAAAUCCCCCGGCUCAACCGGGGAAUGGCUGGAUAUACUGGCGGUCUUGAGCGAUCUAGGGGCAGAUGGAACAAGUGGUGGAGCGGUGAAAUGCGUAGAUAUCACUUGGAACGCCAAAGGUGAAAACAGUCUGCUGGGGAUCUGCUGACGCUGAGACACGAAAGCCAGGGGAGCCAACGGG
rnacentral:rRNA from 1 species